rnacentral:rRNA from 1 species
GACGUAGGGGGCCAGCGUUGCUCGGAAUUACUGGGCGUAAAGGGUCCGUAGGCGGUGCGGUAAGUCGGGCGUGAAAUCUCUGGGCUUAACUCAGAGGCUGCUUCCGAAACUGCCGUGCUAGAGUGCGAGAGAGGCAAGUGGAAUUGCGGGUGUAGCGGUGAAAUUCGUAGAUAUUCGGAAGAACACCAGUGGCGAAGGCGGCUCACUGGACUGGUAUUGACGCUGAGGUGCGAAAGCGUGGGGAGCAAACAGG